rnacentral:piRNA from 1 species
AGGUCACUCUUAGUUGGAUGGUAUGC